UUUUUUUUUUUUUUCUUCUUAUUUGAUAUAUGAGAACAGUCAGGUAGGCUUCGCCAACUGAGAAUAGUCAGGCGAGGGCAUGUGUUUGCACGGGUUUUAUGCUUGGAAUAUGCGUUGACUAGGAUUAUAAUUACAAGGAAAAACUUCAAAAACCUCUCUUGGGGUUUCAUUCUUUCUCACUUUAGUAUCCUAUAGUUUAAAGUGUAUCAAGUUAGUACCCUAUGGUUUCGCACUUUCUAACUUUAGUACCCUAUGGUUUAAAGUGUAUCAAGUUAGUAACCUAUGGUUUCGCACUUUCUCCAUUUAGUACCAUGUGGUUUAAUAUUUUAUUAAGAGAAAAAUAAAACCACAGGGUACUAACUUGAUAAAAAAAUAAAACCACAAGGUACUAACUUGAUACAAAAAUAAAAUCACAGAGUACUAACUUGAUACACUUUAAACCACAAGAUACUAAAGUGAGAAAGUGCGAACCCACAGAGUACUAACUUGAUACAAUUUAAACCAUAGGAUACUAAAAUGAAAAAGUGCGAAACCACGGGAGGUCUU
rnacentral:lncRNA from 1 species